UAUUGCACAAUGGGGGAAACCCUGAUGCAGCGACGCCGCGCGAGUGAAGAAGUAUUUCGGUAUGUAAAGCUCUAUCAGCAGGGAAGAAAAUGAUGGCACCUGACUAAGAAGCAACGGCUAACUACGUGCAAGAAGCCGCGGUAAUACGGAGGGGGCAAGCGUUAUCCGGAUUUACUGGGUGUAAAGGGAGCGUAGGUGGCAUGGUAAGCCAGAAGUGAAAACCCAGGGCUCAACUCUGCGGAUUGCUUUUGGAACUAUCAAGCUAGAGUGCUGGAGGGGUAAGCGGAAUUCCUAGUGUAGCGGUGAAAUGCGUAGAUAUUAGGAGGAACACCGGUGGCGAAGGCGGCUUACUGGACAGAAACUGACACUGAGGCUCGAAAGCGUGGGGAGCAAACAGG
rnacentral:rRNA from 1 species